UGGAAGUCAAAGUAACAGAAGCAGUGAUUUUCCCUCUCCUUCUUACUCUCCAGGUAUUUUCUGCAGAGAGGAACGAUGAGACUCCCACUUCCUGGCCCGAUCAAGGGGCAAUUCCCACGGGAGACUACCUGGAGAAGGGGAGAGGAGAGGUGCACAGAUAUGACAGACAAGAGCAGCAUUCUGGGCAAUCUGAACAUGAUGUUAUUCACACACUGCUGAGCACAAACGAUGCAACUGAGAUAGACAUCAUCAACCGUGGCGAGUUUCCAUGUAACGUCAUUUCAGUCAUGGACGACCUCCUAACCCCUCAGGUUCAGACUCAACCAACCCCGACCGCAGUUACCACCAGCAGCCCACACCUGGACAAUAACAAAAACAAGAGAAAGGCAAAGGGAGCUCCUCAACAUCAGGGUCUAGUUGUCCCAUACCUACCCAUCAGGCCUGGUGCCCCCAACAUAAAAGGCUUCCCUCCUGCACCCCCAAUGUUCUUUGUCCCUCAGAGAGCUGAAGCACGCCAUCCCCACCCCAUGAGCUGGUUUCCCAGAGGUUAUGGAAGUAUGCCCAACUACCUCAUGCCCCGCUUUGUAUUCUCAGCCUAUGUCCGGGCUUUGCAUGGAAGUUCAUCGGAAGAGAAUUCUCAGAGUGACUGAAGUAUCGGGUUCCUAAGACCAUUUAUAAAUAGAAUGGGGGGUGUCCGUUCUAUAGAUUCUAUUUCUAUGGCUAAGAGUUUCUGUUGCUCAGUCUCCAUUACUGUCCCAGAAAAGAGAUCGGCAGAGGCUGAUAUGAUCGGUGUCAUUGUGCGCUGAAUCUGCUAUGUGGAAGUGUUGAUAAGCAUCAUGUUAUUUUUUAAUCACUCACAGCACCAUGCGUAUAUGCUUACAUGACAA